AACGAACGCUGGCGGCAUGCCUAACACAUGCAAGUCGAACGAGAUCUUCGGGUCUAGUGGCGCACGGGUGCGUAACGCGUGGGAAUCUGCCCUUUGGUUCGGAAUAACAGUUGGAAACGACUGCUAAUACCGGAUGAUGACGAAAGUCCAAAGAUUUAUCGCCAGAGGAUGAGCCCGCGUAGGAUUAGCUAGUUGGUGUGGUAAAGGCGCACCAAGGCGACGAUCCUUAGCUGGUCUGAGAGGAUGAUCAGCCACACUGGGACUGAGACACGGACCAGACUCCUACGGGAGGCAGCAGUGGGGAAUAUUGGACAAUGGGCGAAAGCCUGAUCCAGCAAUGCCGCGUGAGUGAUGAAGGCCUUAGGGUUGUAAAGCUCUUUUACCCGGGAUGAUAAUGACAGUACCGGGGGAAUAAGCUCCGGCUAACUCCGUGCCAGCAGCCGCGGUAAAAC
rnacentral:rRNA from 1 species